CCCUUAGAUGUUCUGGGCUGCACGCGCGCUACACUGAUGCACUCAACGAGUUUACGACCUUGCCCGAUAGGGUUGGGUAAUCUUUUUAAAAUGCAUCGUGAUGGGGAUAGUUUAUUGCAAUUAUUAAUCUUCAACGAGGAAUUCCUAGUAAGCGCGAGUCAUCAGCUCGUGCUGAUUACGUCCCUGCCCUUUGUACACACCGCCCGUCGCUCCUACCGAUUGAGUGCUCAGGUGAAUAAUUCGGACUGCAGCAAUGUUUGGAUCCCGAACGUUGCAGCGGAAAGUUUAGUGAACCUUAUCACUUAGAGGAAGGAGAAGUCGUAACA
rnacentral:rRNA from 1 species